CUUUAUGAGGUGCAACCAAAACAGCUGUUUGACAUAGCAACAGGGAUAUUCUGGCAGGCUGUCGAGAAUUAGUUCUUGAAUACUGUUGUGGUUUUGAUCACUAAAAUGGCUGUGACUUUUGGACUCUCUUUGAGUGUUUCUUGGAUUUGUUGCCUGCUAAUUGGAGGGAUAACUUGUUUUACACUUAAAGGUAACGCUCAUGGGCAUCCUGCCUACACUGGACCUGAACCGACUGGAUCCUAUGCCCAAGCAAGUGUGGUGUCUGGUCCAAAUGUUAAAGCUACUGGCCACAAUGCCACGUGAGCGGAAGCUACUGGCCACAAUGCCACGUGAGCGGAAGCUACUGGCCACAAUGCCACGUCAGCGGAAGCUACUGGCCACAAUGCCACGUCAGCGGAAGCUACUGGCCACAAUGCCACGUCAGCGGAAGCUACUGGCCACAAUGCCACGUCAAGUGUGAAGUCCGGCCCCUCAGCAGAAGCUUCAGGCCCCGGCGCCUCAGCAGAAGCUUCAGGCCCCUCAGCAGAAGCUUCAGGCCCCGGCGCCUCAGCAGAAGCUUCAGGCCCCGG